rnacentral:rRNA from 1 species
UACGUAGGGUGCGAGCGUUAAUCGGAAUUACUGGGCGUAAAGGGUGCGCAGGCGGCUCCGCAUGUCGGGCGUGAAAUCCCCGGGCUUAACCUGGGAAUUGCGUUCGAAACUAUGGAGCUGGAGUGUGGCAGAGGGAGGUGGAAUUCCACGUGUAGCGGUGAAAUGCGUAGAGAUGUGGAGGAACACCGAUGGCGAAGGCAGCCUCCUGGGCCAACACUGACGCUCAUGCACGAAAGCGUGGGGAGCAAACAGG